UUCACAAAUACAUCCUUCAUUUCUUUCGGUUACGAUAAAAAAACACAGAGAAAAUAAGAAAGCUCUUUCAAACCCUCUCAAUGGCUCUCUCGCGAAUCUCUCAUUCGAUUCUCUAUCGGUCUCAACACUGCUUCUCAGAAGAAAAAAUAAACAAAAACGACUCUCUCUACUCUCAUCGCUAUUCAUCUCUCGCGCAUGUUCAUGUUUUCGCCGGUAUCAAACAAAUAUCACAACACAAAACCCUAAUCCCAAUCAGUCCCAAAUCGGCCCCCAUUUACUGUUUUCAAGUAUUACAGAUAAUUAUUACAUGUUACAAUACUGAAAUCAAGAGAAACGGGAAGCAGAAUAUACAAGAUAAAGCAACAAUUUAAUGAUAAAUCAAGAUUCACGACGAAUUUACCGAGUAUGAAAGCGAUAUCGAGGUAAGGAAGCUCUAUGAAUAUCUCCACUCAAAGUGUUUCGAGUUCUUCUCCUAUACUUUUGUCCGCUUCUGUAUUUUGCUGCUUGUGUUUUUCGUUGUUUUUCUGGGCGUGUUGGAGAUGAGAGGUUGUUCUGUUGUGUUGGUUCAUAGUGUGAAGGAUUUGUUGAAUGGAGGUUGAAGACUUGAGAUUAGGUUUUGGAUUGUAGCAGCAAGAGUGCAGGCUGUAUCAGAAGCAUGCUUGGACAGUAUCAAAGAGAGGAUAGCGUGGGAUAGAGAACAUGAAGAAAACCAUUUUUUUAUUUUUUUUGUUCUAUGAAACAAAAAGUGAAAUGGACCAAACAUGUAACUUGGGCUUACACUAAAAAAAUACAAGAAACUCUCUCUUU